rnacentral:rRNA from 1 species
UACGAAGGGGCUAGCGUUGCUCGGAAUGACUGGGCGUAAAGGCGCGUAGGCGGAUGGCACAGUCAGAUGUCGAAUUCCGGCUUACCUGGGCUGCAUUGAUACGUGUGUCUAGAGUGAGAGAGGUCGUGAAUCCAGUGUAGAGGUGAAAUUCGUAGAUAGUUGGAGAACACCGGUGCGAGGCGCGACCUGUCCUUGACUGACGCUGAGCGCGAAGC